GACGAACGCUGGCGGCGUGCUUAACACAUGCAAGUCGAACGAUGAAGAAGAGCUUGCUCUUCGGAUUAGUGGCGAACGGGUGAGUAACUCGUGACUAACCUGCCCCUUUCUCUGGGAUAACGCUCCGAAAGGAGUGCUAAUACCGGAUACUCACAUCGAGGCACAUGCCUUGAUGUGGAAAGUUUUUCGGAAAGGGAUGGAGUCGCGGCCUAUCAGCUUGUUGGUGAGGUAACGGCUCACCAAGGCGACGACGGGUAGCCGGGCUGAGAGGGCGACCGGCCACACUGGGACUGAGACACGGCCCAGACUCCUACGGGAGGCAGCAGUGGGGAAGAUUGCACAAUGGGCGAAAGCCUGAUGCAGCGACGCCGCGUGAGGGAUGAAGGUCUUCGGAUUGUAAACCUCUUUCAGUAGGGACGAAGCGAAAGUGACGGUACCUAAAGAAGAAGCACCGGCUAACUACGUGCCAGCCGCCGCGGUAA
rnacentral:rRNA from 1 species